rnacentral:rRNA from 1 species
GAUCUGAAAUCAGGUAGGGCUACCCGCUGAACUUAAGCAUAUCAAUAAGCGGGGGAAAAGAAACUAACAAGGAUUCCCCUAGUAACGGCGAGUGAAGCGGGAAGAGCUCAAAUUUAAAAUCUGGUUUGCUUUGCAAAUCCGAGUUGUAGUCUGAAGAAACGUUUUCCAUGAAAGCUGAGGCACAAGUCCUUUGGAACAGGGCAUCAUAGAGGGUGAGAAUCCCGUCCAUGGUCUCAAGCCUUUCAUUUUGUGAUACGUUUUCUAAGAGUCAGGUUGUUUGGGAAUGCAGCCUAAAAUGGGUGGUAAAUUUCAUCUAAAGCUAAAUAUUGGCGAGAGACCGAUAGCGAACAAGUACCGUGAGGGAAAGAUGAAAAGAACUUUGAAAAGAGAGUUAAAAAGUACGUGAAAUUGUUGAAAGGGAACCGU